UGGGGAAUCUUGCACAAUGGGGGCAACCCUGAUGCAGCGACGCCGCGUGAGCGGUGAAGCCCUUCGGGGCGUAAAGCUCUUUCGACCGGAACGAUAGUGACGGUACCAUUUAUAAGCUCCGGCUAACUACGUGCCAGCAGCCGCGGUAAUACGUAGGGAGCAAGCGUUGUUCGGAUUUACUGGGCGUAAAGGGCGCGUAGGCGGCGCGGUAAGUCACUUGUGAAAUCUCUGAGCUUAACUCAGAACGGCCAAGUGAUACUGCUGUGCUAGAGUGCGGAAGAGGCAACCGGAAUUCUUGGUGUAGCGGUGAAAUGCGUAGAUAUCAAGAGGAACACCUGAGGCGAAGGCGGGUUGCUGGGCCGACACUGACGCUGAUGCGCGAAAGCCAGGGGAGCAAACG
rnacentral:rRNA from 1 species